UACGUAGGUGGCAAGCGUUGUCCGGAUUUAUUGGGUUUAAAGGGUGCGUAGGCGGCCUUGUAAGUCGGUGCUGAAAUAUCCCGGCUUAACCGGGAGGGUGGCAUUGAUACUGCAGGGCUUGAGUAAAGUUGAGGUUGGCGGAAUUGACGGUGUAGCGGUGAAAUGCUUAGAUAUCGUCAAGAACACCGAUAGUGAAGACAGCUAACUAAGCUUUAACUGACGCUGAGGCACGAAAGUGUGGGGAUCAAACAGG
rnacentral:rRNA from 1 species